ACGAACGCUGGCGGCGUGCUUAACACAUGCAAGUCGAACGGAAAGGCCCUGCUUGCAGGGUGCUCGAGUGGCGAACGGGUGAGUAACACGUGGGUGAUCUGCCCCUUACUUUGGGAUAAGCCUGGGAAACUGGGUCUAAUACUGGAUAGGACCAUGCUGUAGGUGGUGUGGUGGAAAGAUUAGUUUCGGUAAGGGAUGAGCUCGCGGCCUAUCAGCUUGUUGGUGGGGUAAUGGCCUACCAAGGCGUCGACGGGUAGCCGGCCUGAGAGGGUGGACGGCCCCAUUGGGACUGAGAUACGGCCCAGACUCCUACGGGAGGCAGCAGUGGGGAAUAUUGCACAAUGGGCGCAAGCCUGAUGCAGCGACGCCGCGUGGGGGAUGACGGCCUUCGGGUUGUAAACUCCUUUCAGCCAUGACGAAGCCCUUGUGGUGACGGUAGUGGUAGAAGAAGCACCGGCUAACUACGUG
rnacentral:rRNA from 1 species